rnacentral:rRNA from 1 species
GACAGCAGUAGCCGCGGGAAUACGGAGGGUGCAAGCGUUAAUCGGAAUUACUGGGCGUAAAGCGCACGCAGGCGGUUUGUUAAGUCAGAUGUGAAAUCCCCGAGCUUAACUUGGGAACUGCAUUUGAAACUGGCAAGCUAGAGUCUUGUAGAGGGGGGUAGAAUUCCAGGUGUAGCGGUGAAAUGCGUAGAGAUCUGGAGGAAUACCGGUGGCGAAGGCGGCCCCCUGGACAAAGACUGACGCUCAGGUGCGAAAGCGUGGGGAGCAAACAGGAUUAGAUACCCCUGUAGUCCCUGUCUCUUAUAC